rfam:Octopus bimaculoides Scaffold3660_contig_75, whole genome shotgun sequence.
GGCGCGUGGCUUAGUGGUUAGAGCAUUUGGUUCACGAUCGUAAGAUCGUGAGUUCAAUUCCCGGCGACGCCU